UCUCUCUCUCUCUCUAUCUCUCUCUCUCUCUCUCUCUCUCUCUCACACACACACACACACACACACAGAGAGAGAGAGAGAGAGAGAGAGAGAGAGAGAGAGAGA